GCUGCGGCAGCGCGCGGCGACAGAGAGGAGCAGCGCUGGGCGCUCGUGGCGGGUCCUCCUCCUCCUCCACCCUCGGGCUUCUUGUCUCCGCUGCUCGCCACUGCUCGCCGCCCGCAUCCUCAGUCGGGGCGCCUGGAGGAGGAGGAGUCGCCGCUGCCAUCAGGGUCCCCGCCGCAGUCGCCCACCGUCCCUCCGGGCCUCUCUUCUCGCCACUGCUCGCACCUCUCCGCGCCACGAUGGGGCUGCUGGACUCAGAGCCCGGCAGCGUCCUGAACGCAGUGUCCACGGCGUUCAACGACACCGUGGAGUUCUACCGCUGGACCUGGUCCAUUGCAGAUAAACGUGUAGAAGACUGGCCGCUGAUGCAGUCUCCAU
rnacentral:lncRNA from 1 species